ACGGCCGCGUGCUAUACAUGCAAGUCGAACGAGUUCUGAUUAUUGAAAGGUGCUUGCAUCUUGAUUUAAUUUUGAACGAGUGGCGGACGGGUGAGUAACACGUGGGUAACCUGCCCUUAAGUGGGGGAUAACAUUUGGAAACAGAUGCUAAUACCGCAUAAAUCCAAGAACCGCAUGGUUCUUGGCUGAAAGAUGGCGUAAGCUAUCGCUUUUGGAUGGACCCGCGGCGUAUUAGCUAGUUGGUGAGGUAACGGCUCACCAAGGCAAUGAUACGUAGCCGAACUGAGAGGUUGAUCGGCCACAUUGGGACUGAGACACGGCCCAAACUCCUACGGGAGGCAGCAGUAGGGAAUCUUCCACAAUGGACGCAAGUCUGAUGGAGCAACGCCGCGUGAGUGAAGAAGGCUUUCGGGUCGUAAAACUCUGUUGUUGGAGAAGAAUGGUCGGCAGAGUAACUGUUGUCGGCGUGACGGUAUCCAACCAGAAAGCCACGGCUAACUACGUGCCAGCAGCCGCGGUAAUACGUAGGUGGCAAGCGUUAUCCGGAUUUAUUGGGCGUAAAGCGAGCGCAGGCGGUUUUUUAAGUCUGAUGUGAAAGCCCUCGGCUUAACCGAGGAAGUGCAUCGGAAACUGGGAAACUUGAGUGCAGAAGAGGACAGUGGAACUCCAUGUGUAGCGGUGAAAUGCGUAGAUAUAUGGAAGAACACCAGUGGCGAAGGCGGCUGUCUGGUCUGUAACUGACGCUGAGGCUCGAAAGCAUGGGUAGCGAACAGGAUUAGAUACCCUGGUAGUCCAUGCCGUAAACGAUGAAUGCUAGGUGUUGGAGGGUUUCCGCCCUUCAGUGCCGCAGCUAACGCAUUAAGCAUUCCGCCUGGGGAGUACGACCGCAAGGUUGAAACUCAAAGGAAUUGACGGGGGCCCGCACAAGCGGUGGAGCAUGUGGUUUAAUUCGAAGCAACGCGAAGAACCUUACCAGGUCUUGACAUCUUUUGAUCACCUGAGAGAUCAGGUUUCCCCUUCGGGGGCAAAAUGACAGGUGGUGCAUGGUUGUCGUCAGCUCGUGUCGUGAGAUGUUGGGUUAAGUCCCGCAACGAGCGCAACCCUUAUGACUAGUUGCCAGCAUUUAGUUGGGCACUCUAGUAAGACUGCCGGUGACAAACCGGAGGAAGGUGGGGAUGACGUCAAAUCAUCAUGCCCCUUAUGACCUGGGCUACACACGUGCUACAAUGGAUGGUACAACGAGUUGCGAGACCGCGAGGUCAAGCUAAUCUCUUAAAGCCAUUCUCAGUUCGGACUGUAGGCUGCAACUCGCCUACACGAAGUCGGAAUCGCUAGUAAUCGCGGAUCAGCACGCCGCGGUGAAUACGUUCCCGGGCCUUGUACACACCGCCCGUCACACCAUGAGAGUUUGUAACACCCGAAGCCGGUGGCGUAACCCUUUUAGGGAGCGAGCCGUCUAAGUGGAAC
rnacentral:rRNA from 1 species